rnacentral:rRNA from 1 species
UACGUAGGGGGCAAGCGUUGUCCGGAAUCAUUGGGCGUAAAGAGCGUGUAGGCGGUUCGGUAAGUCGGCUGUGAAAGUCCAGGGCUCAACCCUGGGAUGCCGGUCGAUACUGCCGGACUAGAGUUCGGAAGAGGCGAGUGGAAUUCCCGGUGUAGCGGUGAAAUGCGCAGAUAUCGGGAGGAACACCCGUGGCGAAAGCGGCUCUCUGGAACGGUACUGACGCUGAGACGCGAAAGCGUGGGGAGCGAACAGG